AACGAACGCUGGCGGUAUGCCUAACACAUGCAAGUCGAACGAGACCUUAGGGUCUAGUGGCGCACGGGUGCGUAACGCGUGGGAACCUGCCCUUAGGUUCGGAAUUACUCCCCGAAAGGGGUGCUAAUACCGGAUAAUUUAUUCGGAUAAAAGAUUUAUCGCCUUUGUGUGGGCCCGCGUUGGAUUAGCUAGUUGGUAGCGUAAAAGCCUACGACGGAGACGCUCCAUAGCUGGUAUGAGAGGAUGAUCAGCCACACUGGGACGAAGACACGGCGCAGACUCCUACGGGAUGCAGCCGUGGGGAAUAUUGGACAAUGGGCUAAAUCCUGAUCCAGCAAGGCCUCUUGAGUCAUGAAGGCCUUAGAGUAGUAAAGCUCGUUUACCCGGGAUUAUAAUGACAGUACCGAGAGAAUAAGCACCGGCUAACUCCGUG
rnacentral:rRNA from 1 species